GUAGGGAAUAUUGGGCAAUGGGUGCAAGCCUGACCCAGCCAUCCCGCGUGCCGGAUGAAGGCCCUCUGGGUCGUAAACGGCUUUUGACGGUGAAGAACCGAAAGGGUGCGCCCUUUUUUGACGGUAGCCGUUGAAUAAGCACCGGCUAACUCCGUGCCAGCAGCCGCGGUAAUACGGAGGGUGCGAGCGUUGUCCGGAUUUAUUGGGUUUAAAGGGUGCGUAGGCUGGAGGGACAGUCAGCGGUGAGAAGCAGUUGCUCAACAAUUGUCUUGCCGCAGAUACUACCGUUCUUGGAUUGGGAGGAGGUUACCGGAACGGAUGGUGUAGCGGUGAAAUGCAUAGAUAUCAUCCAGAACGCCAAUUGCGAAGGCAGGUAACUGUACCUAUAUCGACGCUGAUGCACGAAAGCAUGGGUAGCGAACAGGAUUAGAAACCCGGGUAGUCC
rnacentral:rRNA from 1 species